CUGACCUCAAAUCGGGUGAGACUACCCGCUGAACUUAAGCAUAUCAAUAA
rnacentral:rRNA from 1 species